CUACUCGGGUUUCUAAUCCUGUUUGCUCCCCACGCUUUCGCGCCUCAGCGUCAGUACCGUCCCAGCGAGCUGCCUUCGCCAUUGGUGUUCCUCCUGAUAUCUGCGCAUUUCACCGCUACACCAGGAAUUCCACUCGCCUCUUCCGGACUCUAGCCCGACAGUAUCGAUCGGCAUCCGAGGGUUGAGCCCCCGACUUUCACAACCGACUUACCGGACCGCCUACGCGCUCUUUACGCCCAAUAAUUCCGGACAACGCUUGCCCCCUACGUAUUACCGCGGCGGCUGGCAC
rnacentral:rRNA from 1 species